rnacentral:lncRNA from 1 species
UGAGACUCUAUAUGAUUAUGCAUAUGAGACGGGUUCCAACCUGCCGUCUUUUUUGGAGAGAAGGGAGGCUUUAUCCUGAAUAAUUUAUUGGAAACCCCUUCCUAACACAAAAACAAAAGUCAAGUGAGCUCACUGCAGUGAAACAGCAAUUCAUCAGGACAUCUUAACUUGUCAUUCCUGGAUCCCAUUCUGUCUCCUCUCCCAUGCCCAAUCUUUGCUUAAUGAAAUACAUCACUUUUUAGGGGGAGAAGGAGGGUUUUCUCAGGCCAUAAUCUGCAUUCCCGAUGAGAAAGGUUGAGCCUCAUGGUUUGUUUUGAUAAAGCGAGUGGCUGGACAGAUGAUCUGAUCUAUAUAGGAGGUCUUUACUUUCUUGGCCUCUUUGUACUUAAAUCGCUGUUGGUGAACCUUAAAAAGGAAAUAUUUUAAAAAGACAUUUAACAUAUAGCCACAUGGAUUGUUAAAAAUCCCUUCAUGCUGUUUUAUUUAAUUUAGAAAGAAUAAAGACUAAGAAAAUAUAGAAAACAAUUUAACCGAUAGCAGUGCACUUACUACCCAUAAUGAACAAAUACAGGUGUCCUCAUAAUUGUUUCAGAUUUUUUUUUUUAAAAAGGUAAUUUUAAAGUCCCAUCUGUAUCCCUUCCUAAUAUCAUUUCCUUCUUUCCCUAGAAGCAAACAUUAUCCUAUUUACAAGGGUAUACUCUCAUUUCGUGUUUAUCCACAAACUGCAUAUGGAUUGAUUCGUAUGUUUUAAGAUUUAUGUCAAUGUCAUUAAAAUGUACACACCCGUUUACAUCUUUCAUCAACUCUUUUCUUAAACUCAUGCUUUCAUUUUUGGUAGUUGUCCCUAUUCAAUUCAUUCAUCAUUUGGUUUUUGGUAAUUAUCCAUACUGACAUAUGUCGAUUUAGUUCAUUCAUUGGAACAGUUUCAGUAGGAAGAUGUAGUGUAUGGAGAGGCCAGAAUUUAUCUAGACACUCCAUUUUCCAUGAGCAUUCAGAUUCUUUCUAAUUUUUUUGCUAUUAUUAACAAAGUUGCUACAAAAAAAUACCCUUGAGUGCUCAUGAGAAAAUUUCUUCAGUAAAAUCCUUGAACUAAAUGACUAGGUUUAAAUUUUACUAAACAUCGCCAGAUUGCUCUCCCAAGAGGCUGUAUUAUAUUGUAGCUCUCCAGCAAGGUAUAAAGUUUCCACUUAACAUUUCACCACAUUCUCUUGAUAAUGCGCAUUUUUUCUCAGUGUUUUAAUUUGCAUUUCCCUGGUCACGAUAAGGAUGGGAACGAGUACUGCUUCAUAUGUUCACUGACUAUCAAGUUUAUUCUUCCUUUGCGAAUUGAACUUUCUAAUGCAUCUGCCUUUUUUGCUAUUUGCUUUAUCUUUUUCUUAAUGAUUUGUAGAAACUCUGAGUAUUAAUUUUCAUGGGUUAUCUGAGCUGCAAACAUCUCCUCCCCAUCUGUUGCUUUAAGUUUUGCCCAAAAUAUCUUCUGUCCUUCAAGAAACCUGAAUGUUGAUCUGUUGAACCUAUGAAUAUGUUCCUGCUUUAUAAAAAGUUUGCAGAAAGGUUUCUUUGCCGUAGGUCAUUAAAUUAAUUUCCAGUAUUUUCUUCUAAUGAUUUUCAAGUUUACUUCUCAUGUUGGUAUCUUGAAUCCACUGAAAGUUUGUUUAUACAUUUAUUUAUUUGUUUGUUUUGGAAAAGUGUGAGCUGAUGCUGUUCUAGCUUUGGACAACUUCUUCCCCAGAUGUCUUGCUGUGGGUGAAAAAACGAUCCUCUUAAGUCGCUAUUUGUUGGGCUUUCUAUUUCUUUGAGCCUAAUACCUUCUAAUGGCUACAUUAUUUUCUCUACUCACUCCAAAAACUCCCUUUAUGUGUAUCUCAGAGCUUACAAUUAUUUUUCUUCCAUCCUUCUAUUUUUAUUUUUCUUGGAGUGAUUUUGGGAAAUUACUCAACCUCUAUCUUCAUUUUCACAAAUUCUCUCUUUGACUACUUCUAAUCUCUUGUUUAACCUAUCUGGUGAGUAAUUCCCCUCCCUCCCAUUAACUGUAUUUAUUUCUACAAAUUUUGUUACUUUUUCACAUCUUCCUUUUUGGUUCUCAUUAUGUCCUUCCCAUGCCUGAUACACUUUAUUUCUUUCUUCAUAUAUGUACACUUCAAGCAAACUUACUUUAAAGUCCUACUUAUAUUGAUAUAUUAUUUGUGAUUCCUUGGGCAUGGCCAUUUAUUGUUUGCUGAUCAUCUCCUAGAUCAUUAGAUUUCUCCAAGAGUUGUUUAAACCAUGUCUUUAGUGUGAACUGUUUUUCACACUGUUGAUCUAUAUCCUGGCUUGCAGAGGCUUUCCUAUGGGAAUUUUCAUAGUUGCUUCUAAUAGGGCCACAAAGGAAAUUGCAGGACCCAAUUUUUACAUUUACAUCUUGACUUAAGGUUUUUGCAUCAGGUAGGUGGUUUAAGGUUUCUGAUCUCACACCUGCAAGAAAUGCAAUUUGGGGGAGUCUGUUUCUCGGGCCAUGAGCCAAGUUUUUUUUUUUUUAAUUCUAUAUUAAAGAACAGGAAAGACAUUUACUAUUCCUGGCUCUGGUUAAAGGGCUCAGUUCUCACUCCUAUACCAAGUGGGGAGAUUUGGCCUCAAUUUCAGCUUCCACAAAGGCUUUAAAACCUCAGCCUGUGAGACACAUACCUCGUUUCGUUACUCUUGUGGCCAUGUAGUUCCAACUCACACUCACGGCAAUGUAUUUGGCACCUGGAGUUUCUCAUUUUUUGCUUUUGAGCUUGGCUAUGUACUUGGAAUUUUUUUUUUUUUUGUCUUUUUGCCUUUUCUAGGGCUGCUCCCGUGGCGUAUGGAGGUUCCCAAGCUAGGGGUCUAAUCCGAGCUGUAGCCACUGGCACUGGCCUACACCAGAGCCACAGACAGCAACGUGAGAUCUGAGCCGCAUCUGCAACCUACACCAGAGCUCUUGACAACGUGAGAUCUGAGCCCCACUGAGCAAGGCCAGGGAUUGAACCCCCAUCCUCAUGGUUCCCCCCCAUCCUCAUGGUUCCUAGUCAGAUUUGUUAACCACUGUGCCAUGACAGGAACUCCUGUACUUUGAAUUUUUAAAAGCCAUAUAUAUUAUGUAGUAUUUCUAUGUGUUUUGAGUAGGAGCAGGGGCUUCAUAUAUGAGCACAGUCUGCUGUCCUGACCUAGAACCACUUUCACCUCUUUAUUGGCAGCUGCCAAGUCACACAUGGCUUGUGCUCCAGAUAUGCAUUUGUAAGUCAGUAAACAUGAAGUCAGAGGAUAUUUUUCCCAUACCAAGAGAGUGGUGUGGUGAUUAGAAAAACAUAAUGCAAGUGUCAUUGCUUAGGACAGGUGAGCUACAAGGUUUGGGUUUCCUUACGAGAAAUACAGGUUACUAUCUCAGGAUACAUUCUCCAUUGUCCCAAAUCCAGUUUGCAGUCUUGCAGGUUCAGCAAUGUAAUUUAUUUGCACACCAGUUGUGGAUUCAUCUCUCAGAUAAGGACUCAUUCAGAUAGAACCAUCUGAAGCAUAAAACCAGGAUGCCAACUUUAUAAUUUAUCGUGAGGACGGUAACUACGGAAGGACUGGACACUGUGAUGUCCUGGAGCACAUUUUCUCCCUGGAGGCGACCUCUGUGGGAAGCCACAUAAUAAUCAGGAGGUUUCCUAUUGAACAAGGAAUCUAAGUGAAGGGAAGGGGUUUUUAAUUAUGAUCUUGAAAACUGUAAUAGCCUCAGGGCCUGACAGUUUGCUGAAUCCAUGGCAGUAACAGGCGACUUCCUUGCCAGAGAGACCAUCACAUCCAAAGCCCAUUUGACAAGGUGUCCUGUCCACUGGACAGAGCCUCGGUGGUCACUGCCAGCCAUUGUUUCUCUUGAUUCUCUUUUUUAUGCUUCCAUGAAUGAGCCUAUUCUUUCUUUAGAUUGAAUAGCUUCAGUCCAGUCUGGGGUCUGGGAGCCACUCUGUUUUAACGUGAUUGUGCAAAGCUUCUCUCUCACUCACUCUGGGUGAUUUCAUGGUUUAACUCUCGGUGUGUAAUCUUAUUCCUGGCUCCUUGUUAGGAGGGACGAUGACCAGUCACAGCUGACCCCCUUCCAUCUGCAGCAAUGCCUUUAAUCAUGAUUUUUUUCUCCCUCACUUUGUAUUAGAAACAUUUCAAAUUUACAGAAAUGUUGGAAGAAUAGUUCAGGAACCAUUUAUGCCCUUCACCUGUAUUCGAUGCUGAUAUUAUUUUGUUUCAUUUAUAUUUGUGUAUACAAACAUCUCUUUUUGUUUGGAUGAGCCAUGAAAUAGUAUGUAGGCUUCAUGCAACUUAACCACUCAAUAAAUCAACAUACCUUUCCAAAGAGGAACUACUUUCUUUUAUAUAAUUACAGUUACCAUCAUCACACCCAAGAAAAGAACUAUUAACUUGUAUUCCAGAUUGAAAUUUCUCUAAUUGUUCCGACAAGAUCUUCUACAAGCACUAUAAUUAAUCAUAUUUUUGGGUGAAAAUGCAUUCAGAGUUUCAAGUGUCAAACACCUUAGCUUGCACUCCGUACAACCUAAGAUAGGCAUGAUCUCCCUCUCCUGCUCCUCCCACUUCCAUCUGUUCUUUCUUUUUCCGUCAUUUGUCUUUUUAGGGCCACACCCUCAGCAUAUGGAGUUUCCCAGGCUAGGGGUUGAAUCAGAGCUACAGCACAGCCACAGCAAUGGCAGGAUCCAAGUACACUAGCCUGCGCCACAGCCACAGCAAUGGCAGGAUCCAAGCCGCGUCUGCGACCUAUACAACAGCUCAUGGCAACGCUGGACCCUUAACCCACGGAGAGAGGCCAGGGAUUGAACCUGUGUCUUCAUGGAUACUAGUUGGGUUUGUUAACCACGGAGCCACAACGGGAACGCCUCCACCUGUUGUUUGAAGGGGAGGAUCAGGCAUGAGGAAAUUAUAACAAGACCAAGAAGGGAAAGCCAAUUUAUAGGUAAUGAUAGAGUUAAGAUUAUGCUAAUAAUCUUAUUGAUUUUAACAAACUAUAUAUCCUCAUCCAUAUGUUUUCCAAAUACAUUCAGGGUUAAACCUUUAUAUUCAGGCAUUGCUGUUGAAUAGCCAGGUGCAGGGGCACCAAAAAUUUACAUUGAAAGGAGCUUUCAAGACUCCAUUUGUUUUACUCUACUGUGCUACUACUUACCAAGAGCUCUGUUGCCCACUAUUACCUGGCUUCACUUCAGGACGAUGUCCGAAGGCAUCUAUCUUUUAAAAAGUUAGCA